UACAUGUAUUUUAGAUUUCAAAUUAAGCAGUCGGUAUAAUGACGGAUUUGAUAGACGCUCAUAGUAAAAUGACGCUUGUGCUUAAUCGUCUCUGCACGACGCGCGCCCGGCCCUCCCACUCCCGACGUAUCCACGCAACCGACAUUGUUCCUCGAAGUUGCCCACGCGUUGUAUUUAGAUUCAAUUUUUCUUAAACAUUUACACUAGAUUACCUCAGUUACCUUUUUAUUAAUUAUUACGUAUCUAGUCUUACGUACCGUGUUAAAAGGUGUGUCACAAUGAAACCAGGACGAUCAAAGCUUAUGUUAAAACUGGUGGAAGAAAGAAGCAAAAAUGCACAAAUUACGAAUUUUACUCAUGAAGAGUGCACUGAUGAGGAGGACUGUAUACUAGGUACUCCAGAAUGCCAUUCACCUUUACCUCCAGGAGUACGCCAUGCAAUAGUAAAAUGAACGACGUUUAUGAGAAUGUCUUUGCAGACGAUGUACACCGAGCAAACGAAAGUAUUACAGAUGAAAAUAGGAAUCAAAACAUACCAUCCUCUACUUGUUUUCUUAGAGAAAAUCACUUUAUAGUUGGAUAUCAAAAUGCUUCCACACCAGAUUUACUCUCGUCAGAAAAUCAACAUACCGUGUCCCUAAAUAUCAGCCCAGCUUUAAGCCCUUUAAAUACCUCUAUCUUGAUAUCAGAUAUAUCACCUUUCCCACAACCGAUUAACCGAUUGCCAUUACCAGCAAAAGGCCAUGGCGAAGUCUGUAACGAUUUUUGUUGUUGCACUCAUGAUGAAGCGGACUAUAGCAACUGUCCUUUAAUCAACACAGUUGUGUCCUCAUGCCAGUCGUGUCCUCCAGUGCCUCGUAUUCGAUGUAGAGGUAAAAAACGAAUCCGAAAUUACGAUGAUUGAAAAGAAGUUACUAGAAAGCGCUUAAAAAUGCCGGGAAAUAAACUCCUCCAAAAAGGGCCUUUUUGUUCCUUCAAAAACUAUGGGUGCCUACCCAGUACUUGCGCGUGUAAAAGUAAAUGUUACACUAUGUUGACCCUUGAAGAAAGACAGGGUGCAUUUGAUAAGUUUUGAGAAUUAGGUGAUUGUGAGAAACAAUGGUUGUAUGUUGCGAAUUAUACUACAAAACAGCAAAAGAAAAGGGGUCUUCAAAGAGCUUUAAAGCAUAACCGUGAAUUCACUAACAAUUAUUUUUUGCCAAAAGAGUCAUCAACAAUAGAGGAUUGUAAAAUUAUGUUUUUAAGUACAUAUUCGAUUAGCGAAAGGUUAGUUCGGACAGCUUGGGAUAAGUAUGACGGAAGCACUUUGAUUGAAGAAGACAUGAGGGGGAAACAUAAAAAUCAUAUUCGGAUUGUUGACGAUGAAAUGGUAAUGUGGGUUUGCACCCACGUUGAAUCAUUUGUACCAGUAGAGUCGCAUUAUAGAGCAGCGUCCAAAUGGCUGUAUUUAGGUGACUUCGGUGACUUCAGCAUCGGUCGGAUGUUCAAUUUAUACAAAGAAUUGUCUGAACUCCAGCCUUAAAGAAAGCUUAUGUAGGUCUAAUUCCAAUCAGUAAUGAUAAAUAUAACAAUGUUAUUAGUCUUUGCAAUUCCUCAAUAAUACCCACGAAAUAUCAUAAAUUUUUCAGAAGUUUAACUCAUGGACUUAAUGUUACUGAAGCUGGUAAUGAAUCCGACUGAAUAAUUGUGCACUAGGGUUUUUUUUUGUAAUUUUAGUUAUUUUAUUGUUAUUAUUUUGAUCUCUGAAGUUGUGAUUGUUAAGAUUUUUUUCAUUUUAAUAAAUGUUUUUUUCUUUAUAAUUAAAUUCUAUAUAAUGAUUAGUAUUUAAAUUUUUAGGUUAGUAAUUUACCAAAAAAUCAGUAAUCAUAUCCAAAUAGAGUCAACAUUAUAGUCUGCUUAGUCUAUAUAGUAAUAAAAGAAUACCUACUAUUGAUAAUAAAUACUUAAUUUAAGAAUAAUGUAUAUCAUGUUGAUUAAAAAAGAAUAAGACCAA